UACGUAGGUGGCAAGCGUUGUCCGGAUUUAUUGGGGUUAAAGGGUGCGUAGGCGGUCUUAUAAGUCAGUGCUGAAAUAUCCCGGCUUAACCGGGAGGGUGGCAUUGAUACUGUAGGACUUGAGUAUAGUCGAGGUAGGCGGAAUUGACGGUGUAGCGGUGAAAUGCUUAGAUAUCGUCAAGAACACCGAUAGUGUAGACAGUUUACUAGGCUAUAACUGACGCUGAGGCACGAAAGUGUGGGGAUCAAACAGG
rnacentral:rRNA from 1 species